rnacentral:rRNA from 1 species
AUUGAACGCUGGCGGCAGGCUUAACACAUGCAAGUCGAGCGGGGAAAGGUAGCUUGCUACCUGACCUAGCGGCGGACGGGUGAGUAAUGCUUAGGAAUCUGCCUAUUAGUGGGGGACAACAUCUCGAAAGGGAUGCUAAUACCGCAUACGUCCUACGGGAGAAAGCAGGGGACCUUCGGGCCUUGCGCUAAUAGAUGAGCCUAAGUCGGAUUAGCUAGUUGGUGGGGUAAAGGCCUACCAAGGCGACGAUCUGUAGCGGGUCUGAGAGGAUGAUCCGCCACACUGGGACUGAGACACGGCCCAGACUCCUACGGGAGGCAGCAGUGGGGAAUAUUGGACAAUGGGGGGAACCCUGAUCCAGCCAUGCCGCGUGUGUGAAGAAGGCCUUAUGGUUGUAAAGCACUUUAAGCGAGGAGGAGGCUACUUUAGUUAAUACCUCGAGAUAGUGGACGUUACUCGCAGAAUAAGCACCGGCUAACUCUGUGCCAGCCGCCGCAGUAACAC